rnacentral:rRNA from 1 species
GAUGAACGCUGGCGGCGUGCCUAAUACAUGCAAGUCGAGCGAACAGACGAGGAGCUUGCUCCUCUGACGUUAGCGGCGGACGGGUGAGUAACACGUGGAUAACCUACCUAUAAGACUGGGAUAACUUCUGGAAACCGGAGCUAAUACCGGAUAAUAUAUUGAACCGCAUGGUUCAAUAGUGAAAGACGGUUUUGCUGUCACUUAUAGAUGGAUCCGCGCCGCAUUAGCUAGUUGGUAAGGUAACGGCUUACCAAGGCAACGAUGCGUAGCCGACCUGAGAGGGUGAUAGGAGAAACUGGAACAGAGACACGGUCCAGACUGCUACGGGAGGAAGCAGUAGGGAAUCUUGCGAAAUGGGAGAAAGCAUGACGGAGCAACGCGGCGUGAGUGAUGAAGGUAAUCGGAUCGUAAAACUCUGUUAUUAGGGAAGAACAAAUGUGUAAGUAACUAUGCAAGUAUUGACGGUACCUAAGCAGAAAGCAACGGCUAACUACGUG